rnacentral:lncRNA from 1 species
AUUGGAUAGUGAGGAGGAUUUUGGUGGAUGGGAGGAGUCUAGUGAGGAGGAAGAAGAAGACAUUCCCAAGGCUAACACUCCCGAGGACGAGGACGAUGAUGAUGAUGAUGAUGAUGAUGAUGAGGGAGAUGAUGAUGAGUGAAGAUCCAUGGAAGGGCCUCCCCUUUUUGGCGCUUGAUGCCAAAGGGGGAGUGAAGCUCACCAUGAAUGCUUGGGGAUGGAUGAUCAUCUUAGCUAUGUUUAGUUUCUCUUAUGGCUUGUGGACAUGUAAGCAAACUAUGUGUGGUAUUAUGUAUGGUGUGCCAAGUGUGAACUUUCAAUUUUAUAAGACUCAUUUGCUAUGUUAGUGUGGCUUAAGACUUCUUAUUCACUUGUGUUGAGAUGAUUAUGACUUGUAUGGUGUAUUGCUCUAUUUUCACUUUGUUGAAGUGCUCCAUCUUGUCAUACGCAUCACGUUGAUAUUCUUGUCACACCUUUGCACCAUACAAUUGCAAGGAUAUAAGGGGAGCCUACUUAAUUUGUGCAUUUGGCAUUUGAGGCCAUUUACCCUCUCAUGCACACAUUAAGGGGGAGCUCAUCUAUAUCGUUGCAUUCAAAGUUGUUUUUAUAUCUCUUGUGAGCCCUAGUUGUGUUGUCAUCAAUCACCAAAAAGGGGGAUAUUGUAAGUGCAUUUGGCCCCCUAUGUGGGUUUUGGUGUUGAUGACGCGCAUGAUUAGGGGACUAAUAUGAUUAUCAAGUGAUUGACAGGGUUUAAUUGCAAAAGAGUGCAAAGGUGUACUUAAAGAUUGUCAAGAAGCCCCCAAAUGCAAAAAUAGAAUUGUGUUGAGCUCAAAAGGAUUUUCAUUUAUGUUUUCUAAUUUUGAAUUUGAGUUUAGGAACGACGUACUAUUAAGGGGGAUGCGGAUGGAUAGAUUGAAGAUGCUAAAGUGCUCACUUGAGAUGCUGACCACCCAUUGAGAGACACAAAACACCCACUUGCACAACCUUUUUCUCAUAUUUUCUAAGUGUAUCGAAAGUUCCGACACUGUAUCGGAAGUUUCGAUACGUAUCGGAAGUUUCCAGAUAGUCCCAGCAGGGGUCCUCUGCACGUCUGAUUUGAGAGUGUCGGAAGUUUCGAUACACCAUCGGAACUUCUGAUAAAUAUGUGUCGGGUGUUUCUUGAAACUCCCAACAGGGGUCCUCUGCACACUAGUUCUAACUCCAUCAGAAGUUUCGACACUCUGUCGGAGGUUUCGAUAAGCACAUAACAAGACUGUAACAGCUAGUUUUGGGGGCUCAGGUAUAAAUACCCCCUCAGACCCCCCCCCCUCAAAGUUGUUGAACUAACUCAAGACAAAAACCCCCUAGAGCAAUGAAUACACCUCUCCC